rnacentral:rRNA from 1 species
ACGCUCGACACCUACGAGAGGCAGCAGUGGGGAAUAUUGCACAAUGGGGGGAACCCUGAUGCAGCGACGCCGCGUGAGGGAAGAAGGUUUUCGGAUUGUAAACCUCUGUCCUUGGUGACGAUAAUGACGGUAGCCAAGGAGGAAGCCACGGCUAACUACGUGCCAACAGCCGCGGUAAUCUGAGCGGGCUGGCAAGGC